UAUUAUCUUUGUUGUUAUCAUCUGCCCCACCUUGAAUUUUCUUUGGUAGAUCCAACCAGCGAAGGUCGUCUUUUGUGGGUUCUUUAUGACAUAUGAGCGACAGUUACUGCUUCUCUAUGACAUAUGAGCGUUUUAGCCUUAUAAUAUCAUUUUGCUAGGCCAAAUACGCGUUUUAAGUUUUGAGAUAAAGAAGAAAGAACACUCACUGCUUCUCUAUUCUUAAUUUAGAGUUAGGCUUCACAAGAUUAUGCAUGUUUGACUAUGCUUUUAAAGUAACUAAAAGUGUUUUAAGAUCGCCAAUAGAGCUUUUAACGACGUUGGCAAAAAAUUGAUAGUAAUUUUGUGAGUUUUAUAAUAAAAUAAUAAAAACUACUUGAAAUGAUCAUAGAAUGAAGCACUUGAAGUAGCUGAAGUGCUUUUUAGAAAGAAAAAAAAACACUUGAAUUUUUUUUAAAUGUUUCCAUGUACUUGGGGCCUAAUUAGGCUAGCGUGGAAUUUAAUUCAUAUGAAAAAUACAGAUGCAUGACAUUUAAUUAGUGGACCACAUUAUGGAGCAAUUCGAAUACAAUUUGAGAUUUUAAGGUUGGGGCCCCCUAUGUCCAAUUUGUGCCCCUAACACACGGCGAGAUGAACAACAGUUACUGCUUCUCUAUGACAUAUGAGCGCCUUAGCCAUAUAAUAUCAUUUUGCUAGGUCAAAUAUGCGUUUUAAGUUUUGAGAUAAAGAAGAGAGAAGACUCACUACUUCUCAAUUCUUAAUUUAAAGCUAGGCUUCGCAAGAUUAGACAUGUUUGACUGUGCUUUUAAAGUAAUUAAAAGUAUUUUAAGAUCGCCAAAAGAGCUUUUAACGACGUUGAAAAAAAAUUGAUAGUAAUUUUGUGAGUUUUAUAAUAAAAUAAUAAAAACUACUUGAAAUGAUCAUAGAAUGAAGCACUUGAAGCAGCUGAAGUGCUUUUUAGAAAAAAAAAACGCUUGAUUU
rnacentral:lncRNA from 1 species